rnacentral:lncRNA from 1 species
UGAAAAAUUGAUUUGAAUUUUGAUAAUUGUUGGGAUUUUGAUAAUUGUUGGGGUUUUGAUAAUUGUUGGAGUUUUGAUAAUUGUUGGGAUUUUGAGAAUUGUUGGGAUUUUGAGAAUUGUUGGGAUAAUUAGAAGAAUUGUUGGGAUCCAUUUCACUAAAAAAAAUUAAAACUUCAAAAGAAAGACUAAUUAGAAAGAUAAUAAUA